UCGGUGGGAGCCCGCGAAGUACCUGGAAGGAGGUGGGGGCGAGGUAGAAAGGAGUGGGGUUGAAAAGCGCUUGCGCAGGAGGGCUACGGUACGGGGGUGGGAGGGCUUCGGAGCACGCGCGCGGAGGCGGGACUUGGGAAGCGCUCGCGAGAUCUUCAGGGGCUAUAUAUAAGCGCGGGGAGCCUGCGUCCUUUCCCUGGUGUGAUUCCGUCCUGCGCGGCUGUUUUCUGGAGCAGCGUUGUUUUAUCUCCGUCCGUCUUCUCUCCUACCUAAGUGCGUGCCGCCACCCGAUGGAAGAUUCGAUGGACAUGGACAUGAGCCCCCUGAGGCCCCAGAACUAUCUUUUCGGUUGUGAACUAAAGGCCGACAAAGAUUAUCACUUUAAGGUGGAUAAUGAUGAAAAUGAGCACCAGUUAUCUUUAAGAACGGUCAGUUUAGGGGCUGGUGCAAAGGAUGAAUUGCACAUUGUUGAAGCAGAGGCAAUGAAUUAUGAAGGCAGUCCAAUUAAAGUAACACUGGCAACUUUGAAAAUGUCUGUACAGCCAACGGUUUCCCUUGGGGGCUUUGAAAUAACACCACCAGUGGUCUUAAGGUUGAAGUGUGGUUCAGGGCCAGUGCAUAUUAGUGGACAGCACUUAGUAGCUGUGGAGGAAGAUGCAGAGUCAGAAGAUGAAGAGGAGGAGGAUGUGAAACUCUUAAGUAUAUCUGGAAAGCGGUCUGCCCCUGGAGGUGGUAGCAAGGUUCCACAGAAAAAAGUAAAACUUGCUGCUGAUGAAGAUGAUGACGAUGAUGAUGAAGAGGAUGAUGAUGAAGAUGAUGAUGAUGAUGAUUUUGAUGAUGAGGAAGCUGAAGAAAAAGCGCCAGUGAAGAAAUCUAUACGAGAUACUCCAGCCAAAAAUGCACAAAAGUCAAAUCAGAAUGGAAAAGACUCAAAACCAUCAUCAACACCAAGAUCAAAAGGACAAGAAUCCUUCAAAAAACAGGAAAAAACUCCUAAAACACCAAAAGGACCUAGUUCUGUAGAAGACAUUAAAGCAAAAAUGCAAGCAAGUAUAGAAAAAGCGCAUUGAACAGUCCUGGGCACUACAUGUAAAUUAAGCCCAAAGAUGGGGAGAAAGGAAAAGGAGAGACAAAUAUAGUCCAUACUGAGUGUCAUCAACAAUCCAGACUGAAGUCUUCUAUUUUAAUCUCAAUCCCCUUUUCUGAUUUGCCACCCAUGCCUCUUCAGGCUGGAAACAAUCUCUUGGUUCCCUAAAGCACUUUCUUCUGACUGCUGUGAUUCAGUGAACCUUGCCCUUUGCUUUCUAUUACUUGUGCAUUUGCCUCACCUGACAAUGUUUUAAAUCGCCUUUGUAUCUCCUUAGCUGCUCAAUAAAUAUUUGAAUGAAUCAAUUAAGAAUGUAUGUGACAAUAAUUUUGAAAUGGAAAUUGUGAGGUUUAUUUUACUAGGUUAUUGGAGGCAGUUAAGUUUCUUAAUGCUAUACCUGAUUCUGCCAAAGUCCCUUGGACAUUUGAAAACCUUUUCAAUCUUUUAAAAAUGCAUAAAAGAUACUUAGAGGGAAAGGUAUUAAUUAAAUUUAAUAAAAACAAAUAUAUUCAAUGCUUUAAAGUAAUUCCAAAGUAGUGAUAAAUACAAACAUUUCAAGAUAUUUGCAAUAGUAAUGUUUUGAAAUUUUGGUUACAAAGUCACAGGUCUUGCCAAUACUGUUGUAGUUUCUUGCCUAUAUCCAUAAUUUGAAGGAAAUGGUAAGAGUGAUUAGAGAAGUGUAAUUACUGUAAUUUUUUCCCCUAUUGUAGUUUCUUGCCUAUAUCCAUAAUCUGAAGGAAAUGGUAAGAGUGAUUAGUGAAAUGUAAUUACUGUAAUUUUUUCCCCAUUCAACUUUAUAUAUCUUUAACUGAUGACCAGAUCAUUGUUGUUCUGAACCAGUUUGUGGUCAGCAAGUGUUUUGUGGGGUUUUGUUUCUUUGUUUGUUUUUAAAGAACAGUUUGGGUCACUUGACAUGGUUCUCCAAAGGGAUGUUAUGCGUUGUAUUUGGUUCUGGGUGAUAACCGACUUGUUAGAUAAUAUAGAUAAGCAACCGAGUUGCCAUGUUUGUCUGUAGAAUCUCAAGUGUAGCUUAUAUUUUAUGUUCCUAGAGAGGUUGUCAGGGAAGAUUUGACCCUUUGGCAAAUCUGUUUGAAUAGAGAUACUAGCCAUGCUGCCCAUUAGGGCUUUCUGGCCCUGAAAAAGAUACGGAGUAUUCUUGGAAAGUUGAAGGGAAAAAGAAUAAACUGAUCCAUGUAGUAGCAUGCAGAUUAUUGAGGAAUUUUCUAAAGGUAUCUCUCGGUGUAUUUCUCUACUUACCUGUAAUAAUGCUUUUGUCUUAAUAGGGUGGUUCUCUUCCCAAAGUGGAAGCCAAAUUCAUCAAUUAUGUGAAGAAUUGCUUCCGGAUGACUGACCAAGAGGCUAUUCAAGAUCUCUGGCAGUGGAGGAAGUCUCUUUAAGAAAAUAGUUUAAACAAUUUGUUAAGAAUUUUCCGUCUUAUUUCAUUUCUGUAACAGUUGAUAUCUGGCUGUCCUUUUUAUAAUGCAGAGUGAGAACUUUCCCUACCGUGUUUGAUAAAUGUUGUCCAGGUUCUAUUGCCAAGAAUGUGUUGUCCAAAAUGCCUGUUUAGUUUUUAAAGAUGGAACUCCACCCUUUGCUUGGUUUUAAGUAUGUAUGGAAUGUUAUGAUAGGACAUAGUAAUAGCGGUGGUCAGACAUGGAAAUGGUGGGGAGACAAAAAUAUACAUGUGAAAUAAAACUCAGUAUUUUAAUAAAGUAGCACGGUUUCUAUUGACUUA